CGCUGCUGAGAGCAGCAGCGUCGCUAACGCUGCCUCUAGCUUAUGUUUUGUUUUUGUUUUUUUUUAUUGCCACAUUUUGUUUCAUGACACCGCGAUAAGUUAGGGGAAAUUUUUAACUGUGUGUAAGACACUUAGAUUAGUUAAGUGGGCCCGACUGGUUUGUGUAUGCCAGAGCAGCUACUACUAGUGGCCGGCCAGCACUUGGGUCACGAGUCUUGUGCGCGGUUCGCUUUGUAGUUAUGAUUGGGAGCAAGGCUUACUUGUAUUUAAAUGGCGUUGUAUGCAUGUAAGCUUUAGGCUUGCAUCUUUAUGGCAGCGCUGCCUGACGCCAAAUGGAAGUUCAAGGCGGCAACGGCUACGGGUACGGCUACGUAUUAUUUUGACAUCGGAUCGCAUCGGUUUGGUUCGAACAGCAGUCGGUCUUGACUAAACGACGAUAAACAAGCGAAUAGUACGCAAUGCCAGGCGCAAAGCUUCAGUCAGUAUAAGCAAAUAAACGACUGCGACUACAACUAACGACAACUGCCGAUGUCUGCCGCAUGGGGCAUGGUGCGGUUGACUUUGCUGCGCCAGGGGGCAACAAUUGCUGCUCACAUGAUUCCACAAAGCGUCCGACUGUGAGCAUCACAUGCCACCGCCACCGCCGCCGCUCUGUGCCUUAAGCUGUGCGCCUGUCUGUCACCUCGCUGAUGUGUUAAUAUUUUAUUUAAAAAAACAACCACACACACACACACAGAGUCAUGUACUCAUAUUUGUGCAUGUGUUGCUUUGUUUUUUUUCAGUGAUGGAUUAGUUUGCAAACCCAAAAAACCGCUGGCCUUUAGACUUUGCCCACAAUUUAUGGCACUUGCCUCCAAGCUCGAAAGUUUUCAGUUUUGAUGGAUAUAUGUAUAGCAAUAGGUAAUCAUGCACUCGACCCACUGACAGAUCAAUGGGCGUCAUAUAAAUUAACAGCAGCUUGCUAAAAAUUAAUUUAUUUAUUAAGAUUGCUACUAUAAAAUAUUAAAAAUGAUUAGCGCAAUAAAAGAGCAUA